GCAGGCUUAGCUCAGUUGGACAGAGUGCAUCGCUACGAACGAUGAAGUCGGGAGUUCGAAUCUCUCAGCCUGCGCCA
rnacentral:tRNA from 1 species